rnacentral:rRNA from 1 species
GACGAACGCUGGCGGCGUGCUUAACACAUGCAAGUCGAACGGAAAGGCCCUGCUUUUGUGGGGUGCUCGAGUGGCGAACGGGUGAGUAACACGUGAGUAACCUGCCCUUGACUUUGGGAUAACUUCAGGAAACUGGGGCUAAUACCGGAUAGGAGCUCCUGCUGCAUGGUGGGGGUUGGAAAGUUUCGGCGGUUGGGGAUGGACUCGCGGCUUAUCAGCUUGUUGGUGGGGUAGUGGCUUACCAAGGCUUUGACGGGUAGUCGGCCUGAGAGGGUGACCGGCCACAUUGGGACUGAGACACGGCCCAGACUCCUACGGGAGGCAGCAGUGGGGAAUAUUGCACAAUGGGCGGAAGCCUGAUGCAGCAACGCCGCGUGCGGGAUGACGGCCUUCGGGUUGUAAACCGCUUUCGCCUGUGACGAAGCGUGAGUGACGGUAAUGGGUAAAGAAGUACCGGCUAACUACGUG